UGAGGAAUAUUGGACAAUGGGCGAAAGCUUGAUCCAGCUAUAUCGCGUGGGUGAUGAAGACUGUAUUGGUUGUAAAGCCCUUUAUUUAAACGGAGAUUAUGACAAAGUUUAAAGAAAAAGUCCCGGCCAAUCUCGUGCCAGCAGCCGCGGUAAUACGAGAGGGGCGAGCGUUAUUCGGAAUGAUUGGGCGUAAAGCGCACGUAGGCUGUUUAGAUAAUUAGAUUUAAAAAACUCAAAGCUUAACUUUGACACUUAUUUUUUAAUUCCUAAACUGGAGUGAGUAAGAGGAGAAUGGAAUUCCUGGCGUAGAGGUAAAAUUUGUUGAUAUCAGGAGGAACACCAAAAGCGAAGGCAAUUCUCUAGUACUCUACUGACGUUGAGGUGCGACAGCGUGGGGAUCAAAAG
rnacentral:rRNA from 1 species